UGUUAAAACAUAGAUGCAGCUAGGUACUACCGUACUACAGUAAGGAUGUUCAGAGCAACUUUUAAGUGUGACAUGAGUCGUGAAACACGAGAUAAAGUGGUAACCUAGCAAGGUAGCAAGUGAUAUCCAUCAUAGCCUUGUCACAGGGGUUCCAGAAUCAACUAAUCAUCACUGAAAAGGAGUAAGGUUGCUUACCUUCAUAACCAAGUGUAAGCCUAAGUCUUACCC